AUUUUCAAAAUUAACAUUAAUGAGAAGAGAGAAAAAUAGAGAUUGUUCAAGUUUCCAGAUUCUGAAGAGGGAAAUAGAGAGGCAUUGUUGAAAGGAGAGUUCACUGAUUUAGGGUUUUUCAUAUUCACCAACGGCGGACGGCGGGGUUGUCGACUAGGCAGUUCUUCAUCGUCGGCGGCGGUGAUUUGGUUCGUUGAGGGUGGCGUCUUCAUCGUCAACGUGGAUUUGAGUGAUCAUCAUGCUGGUUAAGAUGAUAUAUUGACAUAGUUAGAAAGGCACUUGUUGUGUGUGUCUAACUCCAAGGACUGGUUCAGGGAACCACAGGCAUGUAUGUCCAAUAUAGUGUAAGAAAAUUGUGGGGAAGGGAAUUUCUACUGAGCAAUAUAUAUGGAAGCAUGAAAUUGGUGAGGAUAUUGGCAUAACUCUGGUCUGCUGUCAAAAGGAAUGAUGAAGGGCUCUAUAUUGGUUGCUGCACAUUGUAAUUUUGUGAGAAGAGAGCUCAUGUUUGAUUUGUCAUAGCCAUUAUUAAGUGCUAAAUUAUAUAGGGAAGUAUCAUCUGUGAAGGCCAUCUUUUACACAACCCAAUUUAUUCUA